rnacentral:rRNA from 1 species
UACAGGGGGGGCAAGCGUUGUUCGGAAUUACUGGGCGUAAAGGGUUCGUAGGUGGCUUGCUAAGUCACACGUGAAAUCCCCGGGCUUAACCUGGGAACUGCAUUUGUGACUGGCGGGCUAGAGUAUGGCAGAGGGGGGUAGAAUUCCACGUGUAGCAGUGAAAUGCGUAGAGAUGUGGAGGAAUACCGAUGGCGAAGGCAGCCCCCUGGGCCAAUACUGACGCUCAUGCACGAAAGCGUGGGGAGCAAACAGG